UACGGGGGGGGCAAGCGUUGUUCGGAAUUACUGGGCGUAAAGGGCUCGUAGGCGGCCAACUAAGUCAGACGUGAAAUCCCCAGGCUCAACCUGGGAACUGCGUCUGAUACUGGAUGGCUUGAAUCCGGGAGAGGGAUGCAGAAUUCCAGGUGUAGCGGUGAAAUGCGUAGAUAUGACAUAGAACACCAAUUGCGAAGGCAGCUGGCUACACGAAUAUUGACACUGAUGCACGAAAGCGUGGGGAUCAAACAGG
rnacentral:rRNA from 1 species